AUAGAACUCAAAGAAUGGUUCUUUGAGAGACAAGAAAGUAAUCAACAAAUAUAACAACCUAGUUCCUAUACCAUAAGCUCCAAGGUAGUCGAGAAGGAUUUAUAAACCGUCUCAGUUGAAUGGUUUGAACUUUAUGACCAUGUCAUAGAGUUGCACCUCUUAAUUCGAAAGAAAUAAGAAUGAAAAUCCUUAUGACUACAUUGAGUGCAUAUACGAUAUAUACUCAUGGGAAUGGGUAAAGUACCAUUUGACCCGAAAUAAUGAAACCUUCAUAAGCUAAUUGGUAGCUUAAGGUGACUACAAUCAAAUAGAAUGGUUGACUUUGAAGGAACCAUUUUUGACGUAGUCUUAGUUUCAAUUAAUUUGAAGAUUGCUAGCUACAACUAAAUGGUGAUUCAAUGUUUGGACAUAAUAUGGGUUUCUGAAACCAUUAUUAAGAUAGUCUUGAUAAUAUAUGUCUAAAACUAUGAAUCACAAGACAUAUAAGUUGUAGAGAUCCAUCCAUCAUGGAUCUUAGCAAGCUAGUGGGAGCUAUAAGCGUCUUAUGAG
rnacentral:lncRNA from 1 species